rnacentral:lncRNA from 1 species
AAGAUUGGCCCAUCUACCCUCAACAGUUGCCUGGACUCCCUGGGGCUCAGUGCACCUAGAUGCUGGACUCGGAUAACCAUCUGAUCUUUGAUGUAGUGGACAGACACUUUGUUCUUGCCAUCAUCUUUGGUACCUGAGAUAGAAAGCCUUAAAGAGAGGCCACGCCCAUGAUUAAGUUUCAGGUCAAAACAACGAGCAAAAAGGCAACGGCUAUAGUUGUAGGUGUAGCAAAUCAGUGUGCCUUUUAUCUAGAGGCUACUGAAAACCAGACAUUCAUUAAAGAUAUUCUGGUCACUUGGAUGAAGGCUGGCCUUGGCAUUCACCUGAAUCUUUAGUAGAGUCUUUAGCACCAUUGGCAACUCAGCCAGACCUGGCCUUGGCCACGAUAGUGGAGCCUGGGAUUGGAGGGCAUGAAUUUUAUGAAGCCUGUAAUAUCAGAAAUUCGUUGGUUGAGGACAUACCUCUUUCUUUUUGGACCCUGUGGGCGUAAUGCUAUUGAUACAUGUGCAGAGGAGGAAUUAAUAUGACUGUGAUUGACAGAAUAAUUAUGAAGUGCAAAGACCUCAGAUCUGUGAUCAGCUUCCAUAGAAGUAUUUGCUCAGAAGCUUCUCAGAAACAUUCUCAUG